GUACUGUGCAAACGUUAUUCGGAAUCACUGGGCUUAAAGGGUGCGUAGGCGGCCGAUUAAGUAGGGUGUGAAAUUUCCCGGCUCAACCGGGAAACUGCGCUCUAAACUGACCGGCUUGAGUGAGAUAGGGGUGUGUGGAACUUCCAGUGGAGCGGUGAAAUGUGUUGAUAUUGGAAGGAACGCCGGUGGCGAAAGCGGCACACUGGGUCUCAACUGACGCUGAGGCACGAAAGCCAGGGUAGCGAACGGGAUUAGAUACCCCGGGUAGUCCUGGCUGUAAACGAUGAGCACUAGACGGGAGGGGCUUUAUGCCCCAUCCGGUCGCAGCGAAAGCACUAAGUGCUCCGCCUGGGGGAGUAUGGUCGCAAGGCUG
rnacentral:rRNA from 1 species